rnacentral:lncRNA from 1 species
AGCUGAUCGGAGCCUGGAGCCGGUGUGUGCUGGGUGCCGAGAAGAGACAGCGCCGCCGGCCGUGGGGAGCGGACGCAGUGAUUUGCUCCCCCUCGUGCAGCAACCCCCACACCCAGCACCAGGAGCCUGUUCCUCUCACGCCCUCACCUGGCUGAGCCGCAGUAGUUCUUCAGUGGCAAGCUUUAUGUCCUGACCCAGCUAAAGCUGCCAGUUGAAGAACUGUUGCCCUCUGCCCCUGGCUUCGAGGAGGAGGAGGAGCUGCUUUCCCCAUCAUCUGGAAGGUGACAGAAAUGGGCUGGGAAGGUCCGGACAGCAGGGUGGAUGAUAACAUUUUGGGCAAGUUGGAGAGCCUUUGCCCAGAUUGGCCCGGCAAGGAGCGGUUUUAGAUUAGAGACACUGGCUGGAUUGAGGAGUAGAAGGCUCAAACAACCCAAGGUUAGUUGGUCUUUGUGUGACAGUGCGAAGAAGUGGAGAGAACACUCUGUCUCCCCGACUUCCUUCUUGACCCUCCUUCCGUAUCUUUCAUUCUUCCCCACUGGCCUUUCCAGAUGAGGCCCAAAAGUAAGCUCACUCUUGAGGGAAAAGUGAUACUAAACCCGGGCGUGAGGAGUCAUCCUUCUGCUCUUACUUUUCCCUGCAUUUCCUUAGGCUGGCCCAGACUCUAGAUUCCUGGGCACUUACCUGUAUCUGAGACCCUUAGACCUCCUGUCUCAGUUUCUCCACCUGUGAGAUGGGCAGUCACACAGAUGAGUGUGCAUGAGGGAAUCAGAAGCCCAUCUGGGUUGACUCAGAACCCGGGCUCUCCCCCUGCUGUGGGUGGAAACAAAACACCUUUUCACAGAAGCUGUUGUCCCUCCCCCAUCCCUGAUACCAUCACCCAGAAGCUGGGUGGGGGAAUGGGAAGCUGGAGGAGGGGGUUAGAGUUAGACCAAUGCGAGGAGCUAGUAAGAGCUCGCCUCUCUGUGACUUCCCCCCAUGCAAGGGUGGCCCAAGGCUUCCCCUGAUAUCCGAAGCAGGACGGCAGCCCCUUGGUGGGAUUCUAACUGCUGCUACUCUGUUUCUUUCCUCACUUUGCUUUCCAAGGUGGUAUGUGAUCCCCAGCUCAGGCCUGUGCAGACAGGAAAUUCUCCCCUGCAGCAAGUAGGGGAGGUGGGUUGUGGGAUGUGACCUCCUUCCGGAUAUCAGGCAGUGAGUAUAAACCUGCCACCUCCAGCCCUGAUCCAUUCUCACCUAGCGGCUACAGGAAGCUGUGUCUGUUCGAUUUGGUGGGAGGAGAUGUGCAGGGAGCUGUAUCUUGUCCUCCGCUUGUGAAAAACUCAAGGAUGUGGAGAAGAGUAGACCGUGGAACCCUGCUCUUCUGCAGCCAAGCUGAGGGGCAGGAUGCGUGUGGGACAGUGGUAGAGAAGCAGGGGAUAGACUCAUAGGCUGCAACAAAGGUCACUCUGUCCCUGGACACUGCCUCCGUACUUUCUCCUUGCUUCACUGGCCACAGCAUCUCCCUCCAGCCCUCGCUAUGUGCCUCUGCCAUCUUCACCCAUCAUGGAGCAGAGGUGAGGAGAGGCAGCCUGGGAAUAUGGAGACCAGUGAAGGACCAGGCCUGGAGAGCACAGGGUCCUACCUGGGCAUCCAGCAGAGGAGCCCCUAAAGGCCAGGAGCACCCCAAGAGGAGGGAGGGCAGCCAGCCUCCAUUGACGGCGAGCCUCCAGCCCUCUCCUACUUGGAUCACCAUUUCUCUCCAGGCUUUCUGCCUCCGAGAUGUGGCACCAUAGUGCGGUGCCCUGUGGCUUCACCGCCCUACUUCCACCUCCGCCCAGCCUGUAAUGUUUAUAUAAGCAGCCUCAAGGACCAAGAACCAUCUGCGAAAGGACACACACAGGAAAUUCAUAAAAGAAAUCUGAAUGGAUAAAACCAUGAAAAAAAAGUAUGCUUCAUUAGUAAUUAAAGAAAGGCAAAUAGAGCUGGAAGCAUUUUUCCCUUAGCAAACCAUAACAGAAAAAAAUAAGACCCGAUAUUAGCAAAGAGACUACUGAAAAAACAUUCCCAUACAUUGCGUGUGGGAGUAUACAUCGGUGCAGGCUUCCUGGAUGACAGUUGGGUGAUAUGUGUCAUGUGGCCUAAAAGCCUCCAUGUCAUUUGACCUACGAAUUCUAUCUUUGGGAAUUUAUCCUAAGAAAAUACUUAAGGAUUUAGUUAGUGAUAAGAUGUUCAUCCCAGCAUUGCAAUGGAGAAAAAUGGGAAGCAAUGGUUUGGUUGGGAAUUUAUUCCUUUUCUGCUGUAACGAAAGUUUGCAAUAGGGGAUUGCUUAAGUAAAUUAUUGUAUCUCCAUCCAGAUGGUGGAGUACCGCGCAGACAUUAAAAGUCAUGUAAAAGAACAUCUGACUGAAAGAAAAGUGCUCCUUGAAUAUUAUAAGGUUGUAAAAAUAGUGCAUGUUAUGUGAUUUCAAUUUUGUUUUUUAAAAUAUGGGUGUAUACUUGUAUACGUAGAGCAGAUAAAAAAGACGGAAGGCAUACUAAAAAAUGUUGAGUGGUUAUCUUUGUAUGGUGGAACAAAGUCACUGUAAUUUUCAUCUUUGGUUUUUCUGUAAUUUCCAAAUUUUCUACAUUUUGUAUUUCAUAUAAUAAAUAUAAUUUAA